rnacentral:rRNA from 1 species
GACGAACGCUGGCGGCGUGCCUAACACAUGCAAGUCUACGAGAAAGGGGUAGCAAUAUCCCGAGUACAGUGGCGCACGGGUGAGUAACACGUAGGCAAUCUACCUUCAGGACGGGGAUAACUCCGAGAAAUCGGGGCUAAUACCCGAUGACAUCGUCCGGUGGCAUCACCGGGGGAUCAAAAGCCGAAAGGCGCCUGUAGAUGAGCCUGCGUCCCAUUAGGUAGUUGGCGGGGUAACGGCCCACCAAGCCUACGAUGGGUAGCUGGUCUGAGAGGAUGACCAGUCACACUGGAACUGAGACACGGUCCAGACUCCUACGGGAGGCAG